CGUCUAUAUACGUAUAGCAUAUCAAUAAGCGGAGGAAAAGAAACUAACUAGGAUUCCCUCAGUAACGGCGAGUGAAGCGGGAAGAGCUCAAAUUUGAAAUCUUCAAGGUUUUACCUUGACGAAUUGUAGUUUAAAGAAGUGUUUUCUGUUGGAAUUUUGGUAAAAGUUCUUUGGAAUAGGACAUCAUAGAGGGUGAGAAUCCCGUAUUUGACCAUUAUUUCCAACUCUGUGAUACACUUUCAAAGAGUCGGAUUGUUUGGGAAUGCAGUCCAAAAUGGGUGGUAAAUUUCAUCUAAAGCUAAAUACUGGCGAGAGACCGAUAGCGAACAAGUACCGUGAGGGAAAGAUGAAAAGAACUUUGAAAAGAGAGUUAAACAGUACGUGAAAUUGUCAAAAGGGAAGCGUUUGACACCAGUGUUGUUUUCUCGAAAAUCAAUUAAAAAUGGCAGGAUUUUGUGUUGUAUUGACUUUAUCGGCUUUCUGCACUUUUUUCUUGUCUUUUUUAAUGCACUUUUCGUUUAACAAGUCAACAUCAAUUUCUUUUGUUGUAAAAGAGUCAUUGGAAGGUGGCUUUCUUUUCGGAGAAAGUGUUUAUAGCCUUUGACUUCUGCAAGUCGGAGAGAUUGAGGUCUGCAGCGUAGAUCCUUCGGGGUUAGAUGCAUUUGUGCUAAGUUAUAGCCUUUCAUAGACAACUUGUUGACUAUGAUCAGUCAUGUAGCUUACUCGCUUAUGUUAUUUUACCUACGCUUAGGAUGUUGACGAUCAGCUGAGCGCG
rnacentral:rRNA from 1 species